UACAGAGGGGGCAAGCGUUAUUCGGAAUUAUUGGGCGUAAAGGGCGCGUAGGCGGCCUGGCAAGUGGAUGGUGAAAUCCCUCGGCUUAACCGAGGAACUGCCAUCCAGACUGCUUGGCUUGAGACCGGGAGAGGUGAGUGGAAUUCCCAGUGUAGCGGUGAAAUGCGUAGAUAUUGGGAGGAACACCAGUGGCGAAGGCGAUCACCUGGGGUUAUUCUGACGCUGAGGAGCGAAAGCUAGGGGAGCAAACGGG
rnacentral:rRNA from 1 species